AUUGAACGCUGGCGGCAUGCCUUACACAUGCAAGUUGAACGGCAGCACGGGAGCAAUCCUGGUGGCGAGUGGCGAACGGGUGAGUAAUAUAUCGGAACGUGCCCAGUCGUGGGGGAUAACGCAGCGAAAGCUGUGCUAAUACCGCAUACGAUCUAAGGAUGAAAGCGGGGGAUCGCAAGAACUCGCGCGAUUGGAUCGGCCGAUAGCAGAUUAGCUAGUUGGUGGGGUAAAGGCCCACCAAGGCGACGAUCUGUAGCUGGUCUGAAAGGACGACCAGCCACACUGGAACUGAGACACGGUCCAGACUCCUACGGGAGGCAGCAGUGGGGAAUUUUGGACAAUGGGCGCAAGCCUGAUCCAGCAAUGCCGCGUGCAGGAUGAAGGCCUUCGGGUUGUAAACUGCUUUUGUACGGAACGAAACGGCCCUUUCUAAUACAGGGGGCUAAUGACGGUACCGUAAGAAUAAGCACCGGCUAACUACGUGCCAGCCGCCGCCGUAA
rnacentral:rRNA from 1 species